rnacentral:tRNA from 1 species
GGGGUUGUAGCUCAGUGGUAGAGCGCUUGCCUAGCAUGCAUGAGGCACUGGGUUCGAUCCCUGGCACCA